AAUCUCAUGAAAAUUAGAAUUUUUGAAGAAAAACAAAAUACUAAAAUGCUCUCUUUUACUCUCUGUAGCUCGAAGAGGAUGAAAAGAAGAAAUAAUGGAUGAUUUCCAAUUGAUUCAAGUGAAGAAGAAGAUGAUGAUGAUGAAGAAAAUUUAAAGAAAAUCAGCAGAUGGAUUGAGCUUGGAGGUUACAACAGAAACAAGUAAUUUGCAUCAACUCCUUUCAAUAUACCAUCCAUCUGUGGUUGAGCUUUCAAACAAGUAGUGUGCUCAAAGUGUAAUUUAGAUAGAUGACUAUUUGAGGAGAGGCUCAAUGGUCCUUUGUUCGAGGAAAAAUUGGAACGAUUAUAGAUUUAUAAGAUAAAAUAACUAUCUUCAAUGAUAUGAAACCUUACUUUUAAGUGAAA